GAUGAACGCUGGCGGCGUGCCUAAUACAUGCAAGUAGAACGCUGAAGGAGGAGCUUGCUCUUCUGGAUGAGUUGCGAACGGGUGAGUAACGCGUAGGUAACCUGCCUGGUAGCGGGGGAUAACUAUUGGAAACGAUAGCUAAUACCGCAUGACAACAGUUAUUGCAUGAUAACUGUUUAAAAGGGGCAACUGCUCCACUACCAGAUGGACCUGCGUUGUAUUAGCUAGUUGGUGAGGUAACGGCUCACCAAGGCGACGAUACAUAGCCGACCUGAGAGGGGGAUCGGCCACACUGGGACUGGGACCCGGCCCAGACUCCUACGGGAGGCAGCAGUAGGGGAUCUUCGGCAAUGGACGGAAGUCUGACCGAGCAACGCCGCGUGAGUGAAGAAGGGUUUCGGAUCGGAAAGCUCUGUUGUAAGAGAAGAACGAGUGUGAGAGUGGAAAGUUCACACUGUGACGGUAUCUUACCAGAAAGGGACGGCUAACUACGUG
rnacentral:rRNA from 1 species